AGUGAACGCUGGCGGUAGGCUUAACACAUGCAAGUCGACCGGCAGCACAGUAAGUGCUUGAUCUUACGGGUGGCGAGUGGCGGGUGGGUGGUGAAUAACUCGCCAUCUACUUUUUCGUGGGGGAUAAAGACGGGUGCUUUUAGCUAAUAUCACAUACGUACUACGUGUGAAAGCAGUGGAUCUUAUGAGCUUGCGCGGAUGACUGAGCCGAUGUCGGAUUAGCUGGUUGGCGAGGUAAAGUCCAAGGCAGGCGACGAUACGUAGCUGGACGGAGAGGAUGGGCAGCCACACUGGAACUGAGACACGCCCCAGGCUCCUACGGGAGGCAGCAGUAGGGAAUAUGGAGCAAUGGGCGCAAGACUGAGCCAGCCAGACCGCGUGGGUGAAGAAGGCCUUCGGGUUGUAAAACCAUUUUGUUGGGAAAGAAAAGCGGCUUGAUUAGAGAACGAUGUUCUGACGGUACCCAAAGAAGAAGCACCGGCUAACUACGUG
rnacentral:rRNA from 1 species